UAUUAAAGCCAUUGAUGACUAUUGGUAUUUCAACAUUUGAUGCAAGCCAGUAGACUAGCAUUUUUGCUGAACUACCAAUAGUCAUCAAUGGCUUCAGUACUAAAAUCCACGAUUAAAUAACGGGAGAACAAAAAUAAUAGCAAGGCAUCAGAUCUUCCUAUUAAAAAAUAAGAAUCACAAUACCCAAAUCAAAUGUCCGAGCAUUCAAU
rnacentral:misc_RNA from 1 species